GGCUUUAUAGCCUAGUGGUAUUUUGGGGGUGGGAUAAAGCUUUAGGACCCAUAGGUCCUGGGUUCGAUUCCCACAAGGGGGU
rnacentral:tRNA from 1 species